rnacentral:lncRNA from 1 species
AAAACUCAAAAUAAACAUGCCAUUGGUUCAAAAGAACUGAAUAUGAACAUGUAAAAUCCCAAAUUUCUUAACAAAACCCACGUGGAAAAUUGCACAGUUUGUUCACCAAACAAGAAAACACAGAGAUAUAAAUCUACAGUGAAAAAUCAAAGAAAGCGAACUUAUCUUUUAUCGGAGAAAAAAAGAAAGAAAGCGAAGAAACCCCACACGUAAAUUACAAAGCCUAUUCUGUAGACAGAACAAUCAAAAGAAAGCAAGAAUAUCUUUCAUCGAAGAAAAAUGAAAGAAAUCCCAGAUUAAUAGAUAGCUUGUUCACUAAAAUAAACGACAAUGGAAAUAUAAAUGCACAUUGUACAAUCG